rnacentral:rRNA from 1 species
AUUGAACGCUGGCGGCAGGCCUAACACAUGCAAGUCGAGCGGUAGCACAGAGAGCUUGCUCUCGGGUGACGAGCGGCGGACGGGUGAGUAAUGUCCGGGAAACUGCCUGAUGGAGGGGGAUAACUACUGGAAACGGUAGCUAAUACCGCAUAACGUCGCAAGACCAAAGUGGGGGACCUUCGGGCCUCAUGCCAUCAGAUGUGCCCAGAUGGGAUUAGCUAGUAGGUGGGGUAACGGCUCACCUAGGCGACGAUCCCUAGCUGGUCUGAGAGGAUGACCAGCCACACUGGAACUGAGACACGGUCCAGACUCCUACGGGAGGCAGCAGUGGGGAAUAUUGCACAAUGGGCGCAAGCCUGAUGCAGCCAUGCCGCGUGUGUGAAGAAGGCCUUCGGGUUGUAAAGCACUUUCAGCGGGGAGGAAGGCGAUAAGGUUAAUAACCUUGUCGAUUGACGUUACCCGCAGAAGAAGCACCGGCUAACUCCGUGCCAGCCGCCGCGGUAA